CCUUGAGUGAUUAAAGAGUUUGAUUAUGGGUCAAACACUAUGGUUUUUUGUCUAUAUUUUGAUGUUAUCAACAGAUAUUAAUAGUGCAGAGAUCCAACUGGACCAGUCUCCUGCUGUUGCUAAGAGACAUGGAGAACAUGUGAAGAUCACCUGCAGAAUCAAUGGUUAUAGCAUGACCAGCUACAACAUACACUGGAUACGACAGAAACCAGGGAAAGCUCUGGAGUGGAUUGGCUGGAUGAAUACUGGUAACAAUGCAGCGACAUAUGCUGACUCCAUGAAAGGGCGAUUUAGCAUGAUUGAGGAUGUUCCCUCAAGCACACAGUACUUAGAGGCAAAGAGUCUGACAACAGAGGACACUGCUGUUUAUUACUGUGCUCGACAGACACAUUGA